AGUCGAACGGUAACAGGCCCUUCGGGGUGCUGACGAGUGGCGGACGGGUGAGUAACGCAUAGGAAUCUGCCUAGUAGUGGGGAACAACCUGGGGAAACUCAGGCUAAUACCACAUAAGUCCUACGGGAGAAAGAGGGCCUCUUCUUGAAAGCUCUCGCUAUUAGAUGAGCCUAUGCCGGAUUAGCUUGUUGGUGGGGUAACGGCCUACCAAGGCUACGAUCCGUAGCUGGUCUGAGAGGACGAACAGCCACACUGGGACUGAGAUACGGCCCAGACUCCUACGGGAGGCAGCAGUAUGGAAUAUUGGACAAUGGGCGAAAGCCUGAUCCAGCAAUGCCGCGUGUGUGAAGAAGGCCUGCGGGUUGUAAAGCACUUUCGAUUGGGAAGAAAAGCUUAGAGUUAAUACCUCUGAGUCUUGACAUCAGCAAUAGAAGAAGCACCGGCUAACUCUGUGCCAGCAGCCGCGGUAAUACAGAGGGUGCGAGCGUUAAUCGGAAUUACUGGGCGUAAAGCGUGCGUARGUGGUUGAGUAAGUCGGAUGUGAAAGCCCAAGGCUUAACCUUGGAAUUGCAUUCGAUACUGCUGAGCUAGAGUACAGUAGAGGGAAGCGGAAUUCUUAGUGUAGCGGUGAAAUGCGUAGAUAUUAAGAAGAACACCAGUGGCGAAGGCGGCUUCCUGGACUGAUACUGACACUGAGGUACGAAAGCGUGGGGAGCAAACAGGAUUAGAUACCCUGGUA
rnacentral:rRNA from 1 species